rnacentral:rRNA from 1 species
GCAUAUCAAUAAGCGGAGGAAAAGAAACCAACAGGGAUUGCCUUAGUAGCGGCGAGUGAAGCGGCAAGAGCUCAAAUUUGAAAUCUGGUACUUUCAGUAUCCGAGUUGUAAUUUGAAGAAAGUUAUCUUGGAGUUGGCCCUUGUCUAUGUUCCUUGGAACAGGACGUCACAGAGGGUGAGAAUCCCGUGCGAUGGGGUGCCCAUUCUAUGUAAGAUACUUUCGACGAGUCGAGUUGUUUGGGAAUGCAGCUCUAAGUGGGUGGUAAAUUCCAUCUAAAGCUAAAUAUUGGCGAGAGACCGAUAGCGAACAAGUACAGUGAUGGAAAGAUGAAAAGAACUUUGAAAAGAGAGUGAAAAAGUACGUGAAAUUGUUGAAAGGGAAGGGUAUUUGAUCAGACUGAUAUUCAGUUAACACUGUUCCUUGUGGAUGGUGCUCUAGCUUUUUAUUGGGCCAGCAUCAGUUUAGGUGGCAGGAUAAGAACUGUUGAACGUGGCUCUUCGGAGUGUUAUAGCUUCAGUUGAUACUGCCUAUCUAGACUGAGGUCUGCGGCUUUGCCUAGGAUGCUGGCGUA